UACGAAGGGGGCUAGCGUUGUUCGGAAUUACUGGGCGUAAAGCGCGCGCAGGCGGUCUUCCAAGUCAGUGGUGAAAGCCCGGAGCUCAACUCCGGAACUGCCAUUGAAACUGUUAGACUUGAGGACGAGAGAGGUGAGUGGAAUUCCCAGUGUAGAGGUGAAAUUCGUAGAUAUUCGGAAGAACACCAGUGGCGAAGGCGGCUCACUGGUCCGGUACUGACGCUGAGGUGCGAAAGCGUGGGGAGCAAACAGG
rnacentral:rRNA from 1 species